rnacentral:lncRNA from 1 species
AAAAAAGAAACGGAGAAAGGGGUUUGAAUUCUCUCUAGGGGAAACGCAGAAUCCGGCCAGGGGCACGGCGGGCCUCCGUCGUAGCUCCGCCAUAUACGGUGGCCGGGGCACCCAAAAUCAACCCUUUUGAACCCCCUUUUUCGUCCCCUUUCCUUUUAAAAAAAAAGACCACCAAAAGAAAACUUUAAAGUAGUUUUUGUUGAGAAAUAAAAGGGGAAGGCGCUCAAACAAACACGAUAACCUCCACUACUCUUUGAACCCUCAUCAGAAUCCCUAUGGAUUCUUGAGUGUUCGAGUAUCAGCAGUAUUCAACGGAGGGGAAGCCCAAAUCAAUCGUUAAGAUUUCUAAUCUAUUUAUUAUUAUUAUUGCUUCGAAAUAGGACGAAAAACAUAAAAAUAAAGAAAAGGAACCACCUUUGAGGUUUUAAUCCGAUUUUUCUUUCAAAGUCGCCUCUUUUUUGUAUUCAGUAUCUGUAUACCAUAAGCGUUCGUAGUUUGUUACAAUGAAAAGGUUUUUGGCUUUAUAGCCAAACAAUAAUCAAAAAAUGAAAAUACUAGUCCUUUUUUUUUAUUCCGUCGUUUUUUGUUUCUAUUUGCUGUUGUCUACUUGUCUGCUUGCCUUCUCUUACAGGUACGAAAGGUGACGUGGAGGCGCGAGGGUGGCGUACGGAGGCGUGGUGGCACAGCUACUGCUAGGGCUUGCUGUUUGGCUAAACCUAGGUUUAGGUUUUGGGCCAUUUGGGCUGAUAGAAAUUGGGUCUGCGUUAAUUUGGGCUCAUAUUGGGUUUUGAAUUUGGGCUAUGUAAUUGGACUUUGAUUUAAUAUUUGGAUAUUUUUUAUUUUUUUUUUAAUUUUGGUUUUUGGUUGUUGGGCCCGGGCAGAUUUGGCCCAUUACAAUAUUAAUACCAAACAUAUCUAAUCAAUAAUUAUGCCUUUUACAUAAAAAAAAUUAACCUAGAAAGACAAAAAUCAAAUACCAUCAGAAUGUGAAAUUUAUGUCAAAUAAAAAUUAAUAGUAGUCAUACCUUAGUUGAAAAAGAAAAUAUGGUCUAAAUAUAAAAGUUUCUUACCAAAUCUAUACCCAUGCUUGUACAAUAAGUUAAAGAUCGGGAAUAAGAACCAUAAUCCAUUCUGAGAUUGAAUCUUUCAACAUCCCGAAGAUGAAGUUGUAAGGGUGAAAGUUUAAGGUGAAAAAGAAUUUAAUUUGUGGGAUGCUUUUGAAAGAUUUUGAAAAAAAUAGAGAAUCAUCGUGCUGAUAACAAAUUAUAAUAUAAAGAGAAAUGGAGAGAGUAAAGAACAAAGAAAAUAUGAAAUCAAUAAAGAAUGUACUUUAUUGAUCAAAAGAGAUGAUUACAAUGCUUCAUCAGAGUCUUUAUUUAUAGGCAUAAGAAAUAUAAAAGAAGUAGAAGUCUAAUUCUAAUAACUAUUAGAAUUUAAAGUACAUUAAAACUUUAUCUUGAUCAUGAUGGACAUCCACUUAAUAAGAUAUUCAUAACAAUAUUAUGUUCAUUGUUUUUUUAAAGAAAACAUAAAAAUAAUUAUAUAAUUUAAAAUUUUUAUAUAUAACUUUUAAAAAAUUAUUUAUCUUCAAAAAAGUAACACUCUUGUUAAAAACAAUCCAGUAUCAUAUAACUUCUCCUCUAUACCCAUACAUCUUCUAAUUUAACUAUCAUUAUUUUUUACAAAUUCUAAUAUUUAUAUAUAAUAUAAUUUUUUUCACCCACAUUAUAGGUGCUACAAUUUUCAAUAUAUCAUAUAUGUAUUCUAAAGUAAUAUAUCAAAGUGAAAGAACAAGUUAACAUGAUAGCUACUAAUUGUUGGCCAUGUUGGGAAGUCAAAAUUUUUUAUCCUUCUUCCUAUUCUAAUGACUUUGAAAAAAGUACAAAAACAACUAAACUCUCUAGAAAAGAAUGUUAGGUCUUUUUUGUGAUAGUUGUCACUAACCACGCUAUCAAUAGUCUUCUCCAUAAAAUAUCACCACCAACCAAUUCCUUUCCUCCCCCUUGUUUUCUUAUCUAUUUAGAUUGCUGGGAAAAUCACAGGAAUUCCUUAAAAGUAAAAUCGAAUUUAUAAACAACUUCUGUUGGAUCUCUGUUGUCAUUAGAUUGCCUUGUAUCUGAGAUAUGUGAUUCUCCUUGAUGAUGACCACCCUUCCACCAUCCCGAUUGUCUAAAAACCAUUAAAAUUUAGGUUACUUCCACUCAUUAUCCAACAAACACUCAUUAUUUCAACCAUUGUUGGUUGUUGGCCCCUUUUGCUAGGCUGAGGUAAUUAAUCACUUAGAUCUUUAGUUGGAGAUACUGUGUGACAAGGUUACGCUUCAACAUUAAAAUUUCUACUAGUAAUAUUGAGAUUGACUAUAUGGUCAUUGAAAAGCCGAUCACCAUACUCUCAUUGCUCUUGGCCAUAUCCUCUAUUUGGUCAUGAUAGGAUGUGUUAUCGUGUCAUGUACUACAAUGGUGGCACUUUAGUUCUAUGGUAAGUCAAUUUCUCUAGUCAUUAGUAACUUUAUCUUUAAGUUCCACAUGAACUUAGAUUUGGCUAGGUUUCCGUUGCACCAAUUUGUUUCAAGUCAGAGAUGUGUCCACUACCACAGAAGUAAAGAUCUACACAUAGACUCGUUGCAUCAAGUGUUUAUACCCUAAUGAUUGAGUGUGGCACAUUCAUGCUAUGAGUGUCAAUGUUCAUGCGAAGGUCUCUUAUUUGCUUCCAUUUCUCAUCAAGGAGGCUUGAAACAAGAAAUGAAAGUUUUUUUUCCUACAUCAUAGAAUGGUAGGUUUACUCACCUUUUAAGGCUUUGUCUUGUAUAGGGCUUAGGUCCUCGACUACUUCCUUUACUUUGCAAAGUCGGGUUGGUGGCCUCAAUGGCAUCUAUUCGUAUAAGAAAUUGUUUCCUAUUUGUUAUAAUCUUUUAUAUGUGAAAUGGGAUUAUGAUCUUUGACAAAAGAAGUAAGAAGUUUAAGUACAAUAGGAAACAAUACAAGGUGACAUCGUAUAAUAUUGACCAAUGGCACGUUCUAUAAUUGACACAUGUGCACUAAAAUGAGUUAAUGUAUUAAUCCUAAACAUAUUAUAUACGCUCUAUAACUGGUCAAAUUUUUGAAAAAAUAUACUCAUAAGCAUGGUCUCAUUAUAAUUUAAUAAUAAUGUAUUAAUCCUAAACAUAUUUUAUACCAUAGAGGGAGAAAUUUUGGGCCAAUAAGAAUUCAUCAUUUAUCAUUAAUUUUUAUCUUUAAUUAAAUUUAAUUUAAUUAAUAAAGAGAUAAAUCAAGAAAUUAUAUCAUUUUAGAACUCUUUAUAAAGAAAUCAUAUUUUUUAAGAACUAUGUUUUCUCUAAUUAAUUAACCUAAUAUGAGAAACAUAAUAAAUAAAAGUGUUUAAUUCUAGUAGAAAACUUAAAUAAAAGUGUUUAAUUCUACAAUAAUUCUAUUUUACUUGAUUGACUAGUACUAUAAAAGGGGUUACCUACAAGCUAUUCAACA